rfam:Fomitopsis pinicola FP-58527 SS1 unplaced genomic scaffold FOMPIscaffold_4, whole genome shotgun sequence.
GGCGCUAUAGCCAAGUGGUUACGGCGACAGAUUAGAAUGGAUUGGUUGGUUCGAAACCGUAACGGGUCAUGUGAUCUGUUCCUCUAUGAGGGCGCAGGUUCGAAUCCUGCUGGCGUCG